GGCAAGAUGGCCGAGCGGUCUAAGGCGCUGUCUUCAGGAAUAUGCAAGUAUUCAUGGCAGUCCGAAAGGGCGUGGGUUCGAAUCCCACUCUUGUCA